rnacentral:ncRNA from 1 species
CACGAUAAAGGUAAACCCUGAGUGAUCAGGGGGCGCAAAGUAAAGGAUCUUCCAUCAAAUCCUAAGUUUUUGGUCUGAGUUAAAGUUUCAGGUCGAUUUUUAGAAGAUAGCCUUGCUGCCGAAG